CAUUAUGUACAUAAACAUGAAAUUAACAGUAUAAAAUGAUCUUUAAAUUUAAAUGAAAGUAAAAGUGAGUUUUUGUGAGGGAAUUUUAAUACGAAAGUAAUAUAUUUAUUUGGCGUUUGAUGACACAUUUGGUGUCCAGCUUGAAGCAGGGAGUCAGUUUGGUAUUUUUAUUACAUGAAUUCUUAACAAAGCUGUGAAUCAAUCGAUAAAUAUAAUAACAGGGACAAAAAUGAAAGCUUAUUAAAUAUAAAAGUAAACGUUUUUAUAGGCUAGUGCUUCCACGGAUGUGAAGGUGAUGGCGCUUCUUUUCUUUUUUUUUUACACCUCAGUGUGGCGCCUCUAUUUGUUUCAGUCAGUGCUUUAUCAGAAAGAAAAGCUAAGCUAGAUAUUUACUUAUUAGCUACGUUACAUGAAAAUUAGCCGAAGUUCAUUAUACACUUGCAGAAAUUCACUCGACUUAAAAAAAAAAAAAUCAUGCUGAGAAACGGUGUCUCUCUAGGACUGGUGCAGUUUAUGGACCAAGAGGAGCGCCAUCAACUUGGACUAAAUACGCCUUUCCAGCGUCUCGCUCGGCAUAUGCAAGACAUUUUAGGAAAUGGAGGGAUUCGCAAGGAAGUGGUGCGCGAGGGAGAAGGCCCGCUUGUACCGAGAGACGCUUCAGUCAGCGUCCACUUUUCUGGAUUCCUGGAGUAUGCAGAUCAGCCUUUUGAGUCGACGAGGGGCUCAAAAUUUCCCAAAAUGAUGAAGCUAGGAAAAGACGUGACCCUGUGGGGCCUCGAUAUCAGCCUCAGGACCAUGAGGAGAGGAGAGUUCUCUCGUUUUCUCCUGCAGCCCAGGUAUGCCUAUGGAGAGCUGGGUUGCCCUCCGAUCAUCCCACCAGGGGCCACGGUGCUGUACGAGGUGCAGGUCUUCGACUAUCUUGAUUCCGCCAAAGUGGACGAGUUCUUUGCGCUUUCACUGGAAGAGCAGAAUUUGGUUCCUCUCUCUAAGCUGCUGAGCGUAGUCGAAACAGAGCGAAGCUUCGGAAACCACUGUUUCAACAAGAGCUACUACGAAGACGCCAAAGACAGAUACAAGCAGGCCAUGAUGUUGCUAAGGAACCGCGAGCCAGUGGAUGAAGAGGAGAGGAAACGUGUGGAGGAGGCGAGCCUACCCUUCCUGCUCAAUCUCUCCUUGACCUAUCUCCGCCUGGAGAAACCUCGCAAAGCCCUGCAGUUCGGCCAGAGCGCUCUGGAAAUCAGCCCCCGUAACACCAAAGCGCUGUUCCGCUGUGGUCAGGCAUGCUUUGAGAUGAACGACUACGAGAAGGCACAAGAUUACCUCACCAUGGCUCAGGCCAGGAAGCCGUUUGACACCGACAUCAACAACUUGUUAAGAAAGCUGGCGCACCGUUACAAUGAAGAGCUGGACAAGGAAAAACACAUGUGCUCCAAAAUGUUUUCUGCUCUCAAAUUCGAGAAGUGAUCAGUAAGUAGGUGCGUUUUACUAAAUAACCACGUUAUUAAAUAACCCGACACAAGGGGGCAGUGUGAGAGCAAAUGUACAUUAAAUCCUGAAUCAGCCGGUGGGACUCGGAGGUGCAAUUGAACUUCUCACCACGUGAAAGUGUUAUGGAAAGUUUCCAAUCCGUUAUAGAUUUAUACACAACUGAACAACUAUUAAUUUAGUUCAUUUCUUCGUUAUUGUUCCAAAGUUGGAAAGUUCCAAAGUUACUUUUUUUCGUUAUUGUUCCAAAGUUACCUAUUGAUUCAGCAAUUUGAAUUAUUAAAACAUUGAAAUAUUAAUUUUUUUUUCUGUCAAUUUUUUUUCCGUUAUUGUGACUACCUUCUGUUUUCCAUUCUGCUUUUCUGGCAGGCCUCGUGCCCCGUUUACAUGCCGUUUGACAGCGAGUAAUCGCUGAGAGUAAAAAUAUACACAGACACACACACACACACACACACACACACACACACACGCACACGGCUCUGGGCGUUCACUGGUACAGUGCAUUAUCACAUCAUAGAGUCAAUUAUCAUCGCUGUUUUAGGGGCUAUAAACCAUUAGUAAUUGCUUCAAGCUGAGCCACUGCUUGCUCAGUGCACUUCAGAGUUAUGAAUGGUUCUCGAGAGAAAAGAUGGUCUUGAGUAAAAAUUUGUCCAUGUGGUAAAUACAUUAUGUAGCCAAAAAUUCGCGAACACCCGACCAUAACACUCAUAUAUUUGUUGAACAUCCCAUUCCAGAUUUAGUGCCCUUUUGUUGUUAUAAUAACCUCAACUCUUCUGGGAAGGCUUUCCGCUAAAUAUUGGGGCGUGGCUGUGGGGAUUUGUGUUUAUUCAGCCACAAGAGCAUUAGCACUGAUGUUGGGUGAGGAGGUCUGGGGUGCAGUCGGUGUUCCAGUUCAUCCCAAAGGUGUUCAGUGGGGUUGAGAUCAGGGCUCUGUGAAGGACAUUCGAGUUGCUUUACUCUAACCUUGGCAAACAAUGUUGUCAUGGAGCUCCCAUGGUAGCAUGCGCAUCGUCAUUGUCACGCUGGACAAUACAGGUUUCGGCCUCUUAGUUCUAGCGAAAGGAAAUUGUAAUGCUACAGCAUAGAAAGACAUCCUAAACAAUUGUGUGCUUCAAACUUUGUGGCAACAGUUUGGAGAAGAACCACAUAUGGGCGUGUUUUCUACGACCACAGCUCUGAUGGUAGUGCAGAUGGCAAGGCAAAUCACAGGUUUAUAUUAAUACGCUCGUUGUACUUUUCCAUUUCUGUAGUAACAGCUAAUUCGUAGGGAUUUAUAUGCAGUGUGUUAUGUAACAUUUUGGUCGAUAUGGUGAUGUUUUCUGUAAGGAGAUGCUUAUUAGACGUUUACUGAAGGGGUCUCCAGUGUCCAUACUUUGUAACAGUCAGUAAGUUUCCGCCCCAUGGGAAAGUUUUCAAAUGAAAGAUUUCAAAUUUUUACAUUUACAAAUUGAAGUA